GUGCACUUGCUUCAGUGGCACAUAUACUAAAAUUGGAAUGAUACGGAGAAGAUUAGUAUGGCCCCUGUGCAAGGAUGACACAAAUUCGUGAAGCGUUCCUUAAUAAA
ensembl:snRNA U6 U6 spliceosomal RNA